rnacentral:rRNA from 1 species
UACGUAGGGUGCGAGCGUUAAUCGGAAUUACUGGGCGUAAAGCGUGCGCAGGCGGCGUCGCAAGUCAGGCGUGAAAUCCCCGAGCUCAACUUGGGAAUUGCGCUUGAAACUACGACGCUAGAGUGUGGCAGAGGGAGGUGGAAUUCCACGUGUAGCGGUGAAAUGCGUAGAUAUGUGGAGGAACACCGAUGGCGAAGGCAGCCUCCUGGGCCAACACUGACGCUCAUGCACGAAAGCGUGGGGAGCAAACAGG